GAUGAACGCUAGCUACAGGCUUAACACAUGCAAGUCGAGGGGAAACGGCAUUGAGUGCUUGCACUCUUUGGACGUCGACCGGCGCACGGGUGAGUAACGCGUAUCCAACCUUCCCAUUACUGUGGGAUAACCUGCCGAAAGGCAGACUAAUACCGCAUAGUCUUCGAUGACGGCAUCAGAUUUGAAGUAAAGAUUUAUCGGUAAUGGAUGGGGAUGCGUCUGAUUAGCUUGUUGGCGGGGUAACGGCCCACCAAGGCAACGAUCAGUAGGGGUUCUGAGAGGAAGGUCCCCCACAUUGGAACUGAGACACGGUCCAAACUCCUACGGGAGGCAGCAGUGAGGAAUAUUGGUCAAUGGACGGAAGUCUGAACCAGCCAAGUAGCGUGCAGGAUGACGGCCCUAUGGGUUGUAAACUGCUUUUGUAUGGGGAUAAAGUUAGGGACGUGUCCCUAUUUGCAGGUACCAUACGAAUAAGGACCGGCUAAUUCCGUGCCAGCAGCCGCGGUAAUACGGAAGGUCCAGGCGUUAUCCGGAUUUAUUGGGUUUAAAGGGAGCGUAGGCUGGAGAUUAAGUGUGUUGUGAAAUGUAGACGCUCAACGUCUGAAUUGCAGCGCAUACUGGUUUCCUUGAGUACGCACAACGUUGGCGGAAUUCGUCGUGUAGCGGUGAAAUGCUUAGAUAUGACGAAGAACUCCGAUUGCGAAGGCAGCUGACGGGAGCGCAACUGACGCUUAAGCUCGAAGGUNCGGGUAUCAAACAGG
rnacentral:rRNA from 1 species